CUCCUGUGGCAGAGACAGCACUUCUUGGCAAGCGGUCACUUUCAGGUUUCACAUGGCUGCUGGGAGAUGAGAUUUCCAACCAGCUGAGGACGAGUUGUGUAAGAUUCCAUCCUUCAUAAUGUGUUUGACAUUGUCCUGGACGAUAAGGAACCCAUCAUUUUGUGAAGAAGUAGCCAUGUAAAAGUAUCACUGCAACACUGCAAGCUCUCCAAGAUGGAACAUGGGAAAAUGGUCAUUAUUCCCUCGACAAACUGGACAUGUGCGGGCUGACUACUUUGAACCUGGGAGAAGGAAAGAGCACUCAGAAAACAAUAGGAAAGAAACAUAAGAAAAGAGAAGCAAAAAUUUCAAAUCCACAACCAUUUAAACAGGAGUUCACAAACAAGAUGGUUCACUGGAAACUGAGAAACCCCAAUCACCUUGAUUCUUAAGAGAUUGAUGAUAAAAAUGAUGCAUGCCUCACAAAAAAGGAUAACAUUUGGACAAGCCUUGAUCAUCGUGUUUGACCCUCACAACAAUUUUCAAAGGACUGAACAGAUAUUAUUUUUACUUUCAAUAUGAGGACCCUGAGGCAAAGUCUAUUUAUUUGUCUGUUUACUUAUCUGUCAUCUAUUGAACAUGUCCUAGAUACCUUGACAGACACUGAGAUGUGAAAACAAAAAUGAUUACCGCUUGUUCAAUCACUUCUACUUUUAAGAUUAUCUCCUUCCCCGACCCUCAUGUACCCCU